rnacentral:rRNA from 1 species
UCCUACGGGGCGCAGCAGUAGGGAAUUUUCGUCAAUGGGCGCAAGCCUGAACGAGCGAUGCCGCGUGAGUGAAGAAGGCCUUCGGGUCGUAAAGCUCUGUUGCGGGGGAAAAAAGGCAGCAUCAGGAAAUGGGUGCUGACUGAUGGUGCCCCGCCAGAAAGUCACGGCUAACUACGUGCCAGCAGCCGCGGUAAUACGUAGGUGGCGAGCGUUAUCCGGAAUGAUUGGGCGUAAAGGGUGCGCAGGCGGUC